rnacentral:rRNA from 1 species
UGAAUACGAGACGCUAAGGCGUCGAAGUAGUGUAUGUCAUACUUCCAAGAAAAGCUUGCACUGUCAUAGAUAAAAAACGCCUGUACCAUAACCGACACAGGUGGGUAGGUAGAGUAUACUAAGGGGCGCGAGAUAACUCUCUCUAAGGAACUCGGCAAAAUAACUCCGUAACUUCGGGAGAAGGAGUGCCUUAUUCGUAAGGUUGCAAUAACAAGAUCCAAGCAACUGUUUAUCAAAAACACAGGUCUCCGCUAAGUCGUAAGACGAUGUAUGGGGGCUGACGCCUGCCCAGUGCCAGAAGGUUAAAGAAGUUGGUUAGCAAUUGCGAAGCUGAUAACUGAAGCCCUGGUGAACGGCGGCCGUAACUAUAACGGUCCUAAGGUAGCGAAAUUCCUUGUCGGGUAAGUUCCGACCCGCACGAAAGGCGUAAUGAUUUGGAUACUGUCUCGGAGAGGGGCUCGGUGAAAUAGACUUGUCUGUGAAGAUGCGGACUACCUGCACCAGGACAGAAAGACCCUAUGAAGCUUUACUGUAACUUGAAAUUGAAAUUGGACUUUAUUCGCGCAGUAUAGGUGGGAGGCGUUGAUUAUAAUCUUGUGGGAUUAUUGGAGCCAUCAGUGAGAUACCACUCUUGUAAUGUUAGAUUUCUAACUUUGAAUCAUUAUCUGGUCAAAGAACAGUUUCGGGCGGGCAGUUUGACUGGGGCGGUCGCCUCCCAAACGGUAACGGAGGCGUACAAAGGUUUCCUCUGAACGGUUAGAAAUCGUAUCUAGAGUGUAAAGGCAUAAGGAAGCUUGACUGUGAGACCUACAAGUCGAGCAGGGACGAAAGUCGGUCUUAGUGAUCUGACGGUACUGAGUGGAAAGGCCGUCACUCAACGGAUAAAAGUUACUCUAGGAUAACAGGCUGAUCUCCCCCAAGAGUUCACAUCGACGGGGAGGUUUGGCACCUCGAUGUCGGCUCAUCGCAUCCUGGGGCGGUAGUACGUCCCAAGGGUUGGGCUGUUCGCCCAUGAAAGCGGUACGCGAGCUGGGUUCAGAACGUCGUGAGACAGUUCGGUCCAUAUCCGGUGUAGGCGUUAGAAUAUUGAGAGGAGCCUUCUUUAGUACGAGAGGACCGAGAAGGACAUACCUCUGGUGUACCAGUUAUCGUGCCAACGGUAAACGCUGGGUAGCUAUGUAUGGAGUGGAUAACCGCUGAAAGCAUCUAAGUGGGAAGCCCACCUCAAGAUAAGUAUUCUCAUC